AAUGAACGCUGGCGGCGCGCCUAAUACAUGCAAGUCGAGCGAGAAGACGUAGCAAUACGUUUGUAAAGCGGCGAACGGGUGAGGAAUACAUGGGUAACCUACCCUCGAGUGGGGAAUAACUAGCCGAAAGGUUAGCUAAUACCGCGUACGCUUCUUGGACUUCGGUUCAGGGAGGAAAGCGAUGCCGAGGGUAUCGCGCUCUUGGAUGGGCUCAUGUCCUAUCAGCUUGUUGGGAGGUAACGGCUCACCAAGGCUUCGACGGGUAGCUGGUCUGAGAGGACGAUCAGCCACACUGGCACUGCGACACGGGCCAGACUCCUACGGGAGGCAGCAGUAAGGAAUAUUGCGCAAUGGGCGAAAGCCUGACGCAGCGACGCCGCGUGGGGGAUGAAGGUC
rnacentral:rRNA from 1 species